rnacentral:rRNA from 1 species
UGGGGAAUAUUGGACAAUGGGCGAAAGCCUGAUCCAGCCAUGCCGCGUGUGUGAAGAAGGUCUUCGGAUUGUAAAGCACUUUAAGUUGGGAGGAAGGGCAGUAAAUUAAUACUUUGCUGUUUUGACGUUACCGACAGAAUAAGCACCGGCUAACUCUGUGCCAGCAGCCGCGGUAAUACAGAGGGUGCAAGCGUUAAUCGGAAUUACUGGGCGUAAAGCGCGCGUAGGUGGUUCGUUAAGUCGGAUGUGAAAUCCCCGGGCUCAACCUGGGAACUGCAUUCAAAACUGACGAGCUAGAGUAGGGUAGAGGGUGGUGGAAUUUCCUGUGUAGCGGUGAAAUGCGUAGAUAUAGGAAGGAACACCAGUGGCGAAGGCGACCACCUGGACUGAUACUGACACUGAGGUGCGAAAGCGUGGGGAGCAAACA